GAUGAACGCUGGCGGCGUGCCUAAUACAUGCAAGUCGAGCGAACAGACGAGGAGCUUGCUCCUCUGACGUUAGCGGCGGACGGGUGAGUAACACGUGGAUAACCUACCUAUAAGACUGGGAUAACUUCGGGAAACCGGAGCUAAUACCGGAUAAUAUAUUGAACCGCAUGGUUCAAUAGUGAAAGACGGCUUUGCUGUCACUUAUAGAUGGAUCCGCGUCGCAUUAGCUAGUUGGUAAGGUAACGGCUUACCAAGGCAACGAUGCGUAGCCGACCUGAGAGGGUGAUCGGCCACACUGGAACUGAGACACGGUCCAGACUCCUACGGGAGGCAGCAGUAGGGAAUCUUCCGCAAUGGGCGAAAGCCUGACGGAGCAACGCCGCGUGAGUGAUGAAGGUCUUCGGAUCGUAAAACUCUGUUAUUAGGGAAGAACAAAUGUGUAAGUAACUAUGCACGUCUUGACGGUACCUAAUCAGAAAGCCACGGCUAACUACGUG
rnacentral:rRNA from 1 species